GAUGAAGAACGCAGCGAAAUGCGAUAACUAGUGUGAAUUGCAGAAUUCCGUGAAUCAUCGAGUCUUUGAACGCACAUUGCGCCCCCUGGUAUUCCGGGGGGCAGGCCUGUCCGAGCGUCAUUGCUGCCCAUCAAGCACGGCUUGUGUGUUGGGUCGUCGUCCCCCCCUCCGGGGGGGGACGGGCCCUAAAGGCAGCGGCGGCACCGCGUCCGAUCCUCGAGCGUAUGGGGCUUUGUCACCCGCUCUGUAGGCCCGGCCGGCGCUUGCCGAACGCAAAACAACCAUUCUUUCCAGGUUGACCUCGGAUCAGGUAGGGAUACCCGCUGAACUUAAGCAUAUCAAUAAGCGGAGGA
rnacentral:misc_RNA from 1 species